CACAGUGAACGGUUUUGACUGUCGUGUUGUAGAAAUUUAAAACUCUGCCUUUUUAAGUAAAACUUGAGAUUAAACACUUUAUUACAACACUUGAUAUUAUUGUAACACAAACAUUUGGUAAUUUUUUUUUUCUUUUUCUUUUUGACAUGAAGUGGUUUUCCGGGACAAAUGGCUAACGCUAACGUUGGCUGCUAGCUUGUCAGAGACAGAGAAGACGCCUUUCUUGCUUCUUGGUGAUGCUAAGUGGUCAAAAACAGACUUUAAGGAUUUCCAGCAUCUUUCUGAGAGGAUUACUAAACAUGGAAGCAAGAGAACAACUUGGCAAAGUCGGGUUAGCUUGGCAGAGCUAACAGCUAAAUAGCCUAAUUGACAGCGCAUUCAAACGGGGAAUGGAGUGGUACGUUACCUGACGUAAUGACAGCGGGGUGAGGAGAACAGAGCUGUCAAGGUCCAUUGGAGGGUCAAGGACGGGCCAUGAACCUCUGGCUUUCCGCUCUGAGCGCCAGCCCUCCAGAGCCUUUGCCUUUAUCACAGCCACACUGCUACUUUGAUGACAAAUGCAUGUGUGUGCACACAGAAAAUACGCUUUGAAAACAGUCACACCCUGCAGGGAUGAUCAAAGAAGCAGGGAUCCAUCUUGACACAACACCCUCUCAUCUCGCCUCUAAAGGCAGCUCACAUUGAAUGGACAGAUUAAAAAACAUUGCUGCCAUGGUAGAUACAGACCAGCACUCACACUCCAUAAUUAUUAGCCUGAUGAUUGCACACGAGUGUUUUUGGCUGUUGCAUCUGGCUCCGCCGAUGAUGGAAGUUGUUGUAUGUAUCCACCCGCAUUUUCCUGGCUGUCAAAAAUUGCAUUCUGAGAAAGCCGUACUCCUCUCAUCAAGAGUCAUAAUUUACUUGUCAAAGCAGGGGUCCUCUCAGCGUGCAGGAGGCUCCCUGGGGUUAUAAUUGCGAGACGGUUUGGUUCUCCUGAAAUGCCUCCAGUCAAGAUGGAGCACAGGCCUGCGAGUCGGGCUUUGUGUACUCUUUCCUUUUAAAAGUAGCCAUUUACACAGAAAAUUGUAAACCACGUUUAAAAAAAAAUAUUUGACUAGCUUCACUAUACUUUCACCAUCAACUCCUUGUCAUCAGUGACUUUCAACACUGAUUACUUUGGUGCUCAGGGAGUCAUCUCUACGCUGACACAAGGUCCCCAUCUUGUGGAGAGAGUGUGAAAGUCUUUCUGUCUUUCAUGGGGGGAGAUGGUGCAGGUCAGCUCAGGUUCAUCUGAGAAAUCAUGUUGGAUU